rnacentral:rRNA from 1 species
UACGUAGGGUGCGAGCGUUGCCCGGAUUUAUUGGGCGUAAAGGGCGCGUAGGCGGCCACGCACGUCCGUUGUGAAAUCGCCCGGCUCAACUGGGCGGGUCGGCGGAUACGGCGUGGCUGGAGCAAGCUAGGGGGCAAUGGAAUUCCCGGUGUAGUGGUGGAAUGCGUAGAUAUCGGGAGGAACACCAGUGGCGAAGGCGGUUGCCUGGAGCUUUGCUGACGCUGAGGCGCGAAAGCGUGGGGAGCGAUCCGG